rnacentral:rRNA from 1 species
UACCUGGUUGAUCCUGCCAGUAGUCAUAUGCUUGUUUCAAAGAUUAAGCCAUGCAUGUCCCAGUAUGAACCAAUGAACGGUGAAAUUGCGUAUGGCUCACUAAAGCGGUUAUUUUCUAUGCAAGAGGGGAAUCUUUACAUGGAUACCUCUGGGAAUUCUGGAGAUAAUACUUGCGCACAAGCCCAACGCUCACGGAGGGCUGUAGAUGUCAGCGUUGAAAUCAUUUCAGUGUAACUGGUAAAUGAAGAAUCAAGACAACGAUUCGGAUCGCAUACCUUCAGGUGGCGACAAUUUGCUCGAGUUUCUGACCUAUCAGCUUCUGACGGUAUUGUAUUUGCUCACCGUGGCUACGACGGGUAACGGAGAAUUAGGGUUCGGUUCCGGAGAGGGAGCUUGAUAAUCGGCUACCACAUCUAAGGAAGGCAGCAGGCGCGCAAAUUUCCCACUGCUGAUAUAGCGAGGUAGUAACAAGAAAUGACUGUGCAAGGCAUACAUGUCAUGCAAUUGGAAUGGGCAGAUUGAAUACACUUCUGAGACGAACAAUUGGAGGGCAAGUCUGGUGCCAGCAGCCGCGGUAAUUCCAGCUCCAAUAGCGUAUAUUAAAGCUGCUGCGGUUAGAAAGUUCGUAGUCGAAUUCUGCACAAGGCAGGGGAUCCACCCUUUGGGUGUGAGACUUGCUUGCCUAUGGCACGAUAACAUCCUUGAGAUGCGAGUCACUCCGCAUGUCUGGGUAUGUAUCUUUUACUUUGAUGAAUUCAGUGUGCUUCGGGCGAGCAGAUGCUCAUAUACACCAGCAUGGAAUAAUAGCAAAAAGUCACACUAAAAAGCAUUGGUUUCUUCUGGGUGACUGAGAUGCACAGGGAUAGUUGGGGGCAUUCGUAUCUGACUGUUAGAGGUGAAAUUCUUGGAUCGGUCAAAGACGAUCGUAUGCGAAAGCAUUUGCCCAAGAUGUUUUCAUUGAUCAAGAACGAAAGUUAGGGGAGCGAAGACGAUCAGAUACCGUCCUAGUCUUAACCAUAAACAAUGCCAUCCAGAUAUUGGAAGUUGUAGUCACACUGACACUUUCGGCAUCUUGUGAGAAAUCAAAGUUCUUGGGUUCCGGGGGGAGUAUGGUCGCAAGGCAGAAACUUAAAGGAAUUGACGGAAGGGCACCACCAGGAGUGGAGCUUGCGGCUUAAUUUGACUCAACACGGGGAAACUCACCAGGUCCAGACAUAAUCAGGAUUGACAGACCAAUGACUCUCUCAAGAUUUUUAUGGGUGGUGGUGCAUGGCCGUUCUUAGUUGGUGGAGUGAUUUGUCUGGUUUAUUCCGUUAACGAACGAGAUCUCAGCCUGCUAAAUACAGACGUGUACGCUCGUUUACGUGGCGGGUUUCUUAGAGGGACACUGCGUGUUUAACGCAUGGAAGCCUGGGGCAAUAACAGGUCUGUGAUGCCCUUAGAUGUCGUGGGCUGCACGCGCGCUACUCUGAUGCAUGCAUCCAGUCGCAUGACCUGUCCUGGAGGGGAUGGGAAAUCUUUUAAAAUUGCAGCGUGAUGGGGAUAGGUUAUUGAAAUUAUCAAUCUUGAACGAGGAAUUCCUAGUAAGCGCGUUUCAUCAGCUCGCGUUGAUUGCGUCCCUGCCCUUUGUACACACCGCCCGUCGCUCCUACCGAUUGAGUGGUCCGGCGAACUACUUGGAGAGCAAUGCGGAUCAGCUCCCUGCCCCGUUUAACUCGAAACUUCGUGAACCUUAUCACUUAGAGGAAGGAGAAGUCGUAACAAGGUUUCCGUAGGUGAACCUGCAGAAGGAUC